rnacentral:tRNA from 1 species
GCUUUCGUAGUUCAGUUGCUUAGACCACCCGCUUAGUAAGCGGAGGUCGUGAAUUCGACUCUCCUGAAAGCA